UUUUCAUACAUUGAUAAUAUAUAUACAUAUAUAUACAUAUAUAUGUUUAUAGGGAAUGUAUCAUAUGGAAAUAAGUCUAAAGCUGAAAACUAAAAACAGAUAAUGUAGAUCAUUGAAUUUUAAUCAACGGAUGAGAUUAUAUACUCUAUUAUUUACACUAUUUUUCGGAUAACAAACUACAAUCCAAGUAGAUAAGCCCUCAUCAUUUACUUUUUCUCUCCUCAAAAAUAACCCAAACUUCUCUCUAAUCUCUCUCCUAAAAUCACCAGAUUUUCUCUCCAAACACCACCAUAAUUGCUCCAAGUCGAACACAAUUUCAACAAAUUUCUUGCGAUUUUCGCCUAAAUUUUGCUAACAUUGUUCAUAAACUUGCAAAAAUCAAGUCAAAUCGAACAAUUGAAGCUGACAUUUCAUCAAUGAAACCUUAGAUUUUCGCAACAAAUCGAAGUGAAAUCCAAAUGAAAUGAAGCGACGAACAAUUGAAUCUUACUGAACUUGGUUAUGUAAUGGAAAGGUUGAUAUUGGAGGUUUCGAUGACGUUCGACGGCGAAGAUGCGGCGAAGAUGGUGACGGAGCUCUGGCGGAAUUUCGUGAGUGGAAUUUCGGAGUUACGAAUGGAGUGUUACUCAGUUGAAGAGUAUUGUCAAAUUUGUUGAAGAACGUGAGACUGAGAUUGUUGAUGCACUUCAAUACGACAUUAAUAAAGCUGAAUUUGAAUCCGUUUUAUUUGGGGAAUCUUAUUUUUUUAAUUUCAUAAUAAUUUUGUUUUUUUUAAUAAUUUGCAUGAUCUUAAUAAACAUUGUGAUGCAAGUCUAAGCAUGGAGACCUUUGAUGAUUUGCUUAUCAUGCAUCAAGAUAGCUUGUCUCUAAACAUUGAUUCAAGUCAAGCAUUGGAUGGACACUUUCUUGGAUA